GGUAAAGUAUAAUGAAUUAAUAAAUAAAUUUAAAUAGAACAUUUCAUUCAACAACAUAAGACCGAAGCAUCAAAAUGAAACACAAUAAAGUUGAACACAUAAGGCUUUGAAAUUUAAAGAAACAGAAUCAAACACACAAAAUACAUAGUCCAUGAAACAUAACUCAACGAUUAGUAACAUCGGAAAGACCUUCCGUCUCGUCUGUAAUAGUCUCAUCCGAGUCCACUUCCGUUUCAUCACCAAUCGGCGCAAUCACACAAACGACAUUUCGAUCGACAAAUUGCAAGUAUGCCAUGUCAUUGUUGUCUUCCAUAUAUUCGUCCUUAUGAUUGUGCUCGGACAUAUCUUCGUCGUCAACCAUGAUUGGAUCGUUGAUGUCAUAGCCUUGGCCACCAUAAAAUUAAAUUGAACCUGCUUGUUUCUCGUCAAACACCAUUUCACAAAUUAUUUUACUUCGUCAGUGGUGAAGAUUUCUAACCUGGUCUAGUAGCCUACCUUGCAUAUUACAGAAUGUUCCCCUAUUUGUUAAGUUAUUACGACGGCGACGAGUUCUAAUCAAGCGUGUGAGUUGUGUGAACAUGAGGAUUAAUUUCAUUUGUAUGAGUUGUGUGAACAUGAGAAUGAGCAAUUUCAUCUGUCAAUCACUUCGUCCAUUGCUAACAUUAGAAAUUGUUGUUCACCAUUAGUAACGACUAUAAAUUGUACUACAAAAUCCCCAAAAACAAAUAAGGCAAAUAAAAUAAAUUAUAGAAUGAGAUUCAAGGUUUAUCUGCCAACCAACAUGAACAAAUUAUCACAUAUUUUAGUUGAAUGAUGCAACCUCACAAGCAACCCAAUAUUAUCCCACUGCAAUUCCAACUGAAUUAAAUCAAAAUAUUCCCAAUUAUAUCGUGCUACUUUCAUAAAACAAAUUGAGAAUUCAGUGGGCUGUGUAAAAGCAGUAGUAAAACAAAAUUAGAUACAUAUCAUAACAAUGGGAAAAAAAAUGUACACAAUUUAUGAAACGAUAUAUGGCAGAGAAGAGAGAAUCGGAAGUCGCUAUGGAGAGAAGAAGCUAGGGCUCCAGUGAGAUGCGAAAAUUGGGGAAAUAAUGC
rnacentral:lncRNA from 1 species